rnacentral:rRNA from 1 species
UACAGGGGGUGCAAACGUUGCUCGGAAUCAUUGGGCGUAAAGCGCGCGUAGGCGGUUACUUAAGUCGGAUGUGAAAGCCCUUGGCUCAACCAAGGAAGUGCACCCGAAACUGAGUAGCUUGAGUACGAAAGAGGGUCGCGGAAUUCCCGGUGUAGAGGUGAAAUUCGUAGAUAUCGGGAGGAACACCGGUGGCGAAGGCGGCGACCUGGGUCGAUACUGACGCUGAGGCGCGAAAGCGUGGGGAGCAAACAGG